rnacentral:rRNA from 1 species
UACGUAGGGUGCGAGCGUUGUCCGGAAUUAUUGGGCGUAAAGAGCUUGUAGGCGGUUUGUCGCGUCUGCUGUGAAAAUCCGGGGCUCAACCCCGGACUUGCAGUGGGUACGGGCAGACUAGAGUGUGGUAGGGGAGACUGGAAUUCCUGGUGUAGCGGUGGAAUGCGCAGAUAUCGGGAGGAACACCAAUGGCGAAGGCAGCUCGCUGGGACGGUACUGACGCUGAGACGCGAAAGCGUGGGGAGCAAACAGG